UAAAUUUCAUGUUGACAUGUCUAAUGGUAACAGGACUGCAACAAUUAACCUGGUAAAUCAUGGUUGUUCCUCACCUGUGGACGGCACCAACAAGUGUUAUACUGCAGGACAUUUUCUGUUUUCUGCUUGUACUCAGUUAAAUAAUGAAUGCAUCGAUCUCAUCACUAAUCACUAGUUGCCUAUGGUUUACGCUAUAGGUCUCAUAUCGUAUUAGGUUUCCGGCUAAUCCCGGGCUUUGUGCAAGUAGAGUACUCAGCCAGCUCUUAUCUAAACACUGCUGUCAAGCUGAAUUAAUCUAUACCCCAAUGUGUUGACAAUCUCCAUAUUGUUUUUACAGUAGAUGAUUGAUAGCGCGUGGAGCCGGAGCGCAGCUGAUCGUUUUCCACAAAUCGGAUAACAAAUCCGAUAACAAUAGAACAAGAGUCAGUUGACGUGACAGAGUUGGAGACAGAGAGCAAGAUUAAGCACGUCCCUGAAUGCGGAGAGCGUCUUCACAGGAAGCCGCUUCCUCCGGCUUUUUCUUCGCUUCAGCCACGGCGCCGUCGCGGCACAGCUGAGUCCGGAACGCCGGCCCAAGUUAAAUACGCCGGCAGCGGUUGGAGCAGAUGUCCUGUUGCCUAACGUGAGGUAACUUCACUUCGGGCCUCUGUGCCCGAAUCUGGAUGCGCUUGAACCAGGCAAAUAGGCCACGCAAGGAAAACACAGCGCGGGCCGCUGGAAACGUUCCACUUCCUGUGUCUCCUGGGCCCCUUAAAAAAAGGAAAAGACUCCUCCACACGGAAGGAUCAUCAUCUAAAUUCAACCCAAGCAGAUGCAUGCUCAUGAGGCAGUGCUCGUCAGCGAGCGAGACCCGCGGCGGCGGACUGCUGAUGAGACGCUGUCAAAAGAAGAAGACCCCCUCGUUGUUCUCUGAGGAAUCGAUAGGAUGCUUAUCACCAAGGUGCGCUAUCGGUAAUAUGAGGCAGAUCGCUUCAAAUGAGAUAACGGGGCCCGGAAUGGACGGAAUGGAACAAAGGGACGGGACGGAGCUGCAGAGGCAGACAGAGGGAAUGGCGAUAAAACCAAGGGAACAUCUGGCGAAGCCUAAUCACAUGGAUCUCUAGUCCCGCGUGGCAUCUACGCAGCGUGUUUACCUUCAUUUAUGGAGAGGGAUCCUCAAACAAGACUGUGACACCUGCAGCAGCGGGCUUAUAAUAUAUAAUGGCUUGUUUCUUUAAGGGUCAAUAUGGCGUUGGCCCAGCCUUUGCAGCUGGAACAGCUGUUCUGUCAACUAGAGUUUUUAGAACGACAGACUGAGAAGAGUCACAGUCACCGCACGUCAUUCGUUCGAAAGGUUUUUUUCUUGGGGUGAGAUCAGUCCAGUGAACUCUAUCCACCCCAAACCACCGACCACAUCCAGGUCUUUAUGGAAGGGAUCAGCCCCAGAAUGUUACGACAAAGUUUGCAUGGAAUUCCCUUCACAGGAAUUAAGCAAAAGCAACUCCUCCACCCAACUGCUCUGGUGCGCCUCAUGCGUCGCAUUGCACUCGGUGACGUAAGGCUUGGGUGCAGUUGCUUGCACAGUAAACUCAUUCCAUGUAUCUGUCUGUGCACUGUUGUUGUGCUAAUCUGAGGGCUACACACUGUUUUUGGGACGGGUUCCCAUUCCUUCCC
rnacentral:lncRNA from 1 species